rnacentral:lncRNA from 1 species
UCAUGUGUGUGUUCUGGUCGUGAUUUACACAGGAGCCAAAAAGGGUUUUUAUCAAAACCCUAAAUCACAAGAAAUUCAGCCAAAUCAAGGGAAAUCAAGCUAGGAAAUUGGGGCUUUUAAUAAAUUAGUGAUCACCAAACCUAGGGGAUUACAAGGUGGAAGCUUGUGGAUGAAGCGGGUCAAACGGAGCGCGUACGGAAAGAAAGGCGUGGCAUGGAUGCAAGUUUGACGCCUAACAAGCUAGGUGGAAGCUUGUGGAUGAAGCGGGUCAAACGGAGCGCGUACGGAAAGAAAGGCGUGGCAUGGAUGCAAGGUAAGUAUAGCUUACACUAGUCUUAUAUGUUAGGAUAUUCUCUUAUCGUAUUAGUUAUGAAUGAGAUAAAUACAUAAUUGAGGUAUGAUGUUCCGGCGUGUAAACGUACGGAACAAAGUAGUCAAUCAUGACAAGAAACCAUGUGGAUGGUUAAAAGGAGUUAAAUCGGUAAAUUGGUCAUGCGUUGACCAUAACUAUUGGUUUUGAAAGACAGAGUAAAACAUAAACCAUGAUAGGCUAAAAAGUGUUAAGAAAUGAUUAAUAAGUGAAAUGACCGCACGAUGUAAACCGGAGCGAGUCAUGUAGAUGAGAUGGUACUAAAUAUCAUCUCGUCAACAUAUUCGGUCACUUAGACCAAAUGGGUUAAAAGGUGAAGAUAUCACCCUUUGACAAUAACGACUAAUGAUUUUUGUCGAGUUAUAUUAUUUCAGGUGUAAAUGUCAAAUGGGUAUUAGCAACGCUAUGAAUUAGCGGUUAUAAAAGCAAGGUAUUAAAAACGGGUCAAUAUAUUGAUCUGCGCCAGGUAUGUGAAAAAGGGUAACCCUCAUUUAGAACAUGUGGUUCAAAGAGUGUUAAAAGUAGUCAAGGUGAACAUUUGGUUACUUGAUAAGUAAACCAAAUGUUUUAGGUAAGGAACAUUGUAUUUGGAAAGCUUAAUGACUUUUCAAACAAAAUCAUAGGUUAAAAGAGGGAUUACGGGUCAAAAUAAGCAUACGAGUGAAAACGGGUUUAAAUUGUGUAAUAAACCUGUGAUUAUAACCUAAUAUGGUAAAUAACCUUAAUUUGAAGUAGUGUACGUGAUAUAAAGGUUAAACAAGUAUGUUUGUUUGAUAAACGUAUAAACGGGUCAAAAUUUUGGUAAAAGAGUAAUAAGCCGAAGACUUAAAAGUCUUAAAUUUUAUUAAUCCGGAUGUUGGAUUUUAACUCCAUAUGAUGGAAGAUUAAAUUACAAUCAUGUAGGAAGAAACGGUAGAUCAAACGGAUAAGCGGUUUGAAAGAUACGAAAGUUUUCGUGUCGAAUAACGGCAAAAAUAGAGAAGCUGGAUGCAGAGUCCACCGUAAUUUACGGUCCCACCGUAAAUUACGGUGGAGAUGAAUUGGUUACGGUGCUAAUUGUCUGUUGUACGGUAGAAGAAUAGAAACCCAGGGGCCACCGUAAUUUACGGUCCCACCGUAAAUUACGGUGGAGAUUUUUUUUUUUAUAUUUUGUUUUCAUUUGAAAAUCAAUUGUUUCCCGGAUAUCGUUCGGACAUGAUUUAAACCCCGUAUGACUAAAGCAUUUCAUGUUUAUGAAAUGUAGGUACACCUUGGACGCCGGAAGACGAUCAAGCUCAGCGAAGAACCGAACACGAUAAUGAUGCACGCUUCCGCACUUUGCUACGUUGUAAUUUUUAAACAACGAAUUCGAUCACGUUAUGUAGAAUAACUUAUGAUUUAUAAAAGUUUUAAUAAACCCGUAUUUC